CAAGAACACCUGCUCCUUCUUCCGUCCCCGUGUUGUGGCUGUUAUGGAAGGCAAUGUUUCCGUAAACAACGUAAAAGUGAGGUCCGUGGGAGCAGUGUUAUGAAAAUGACGUCUAAAUAAUUGAGAAAUACGGAGGUGCCAGAAUCUGUUCAACUAUUCUUUUAGAGGGAGAUGUUAACACAACACGACUUUUUAAACAAUGAACAAAAGAGAAGAAAGAGCAGUAACAAGGGAAUUCAAGAAUAUGUGUCAAGAAAUUUUUUUUCAAGUUUUCUACUCUAAAAAAAGGUCAUUUGUUAAAGUUCAUACUCGACCAUAAUUUUUAAAACUUUUUGAAUAAAAUGAAGACUCCUCCAACUUUGGACAGCCCUCGUAACUUAGUUGCAUUCGUGUAUUACAGUAUAUAUGUUGUUCGUCAACACAAAAGCAAAUUACAUUUUUUUUUGUUGCAAUAUUCUACGACAAACAAUCGUAUAUUACCUUCCACAUAUUAUUUUUAUUGACUAUUUGGAGGGUCCAUUAAUUGCACUUCAAGUAGGUUAAAAAUCAAUAAAAGAAAUAGAAAAUGACAAA
rnacentral:lncRNA from 1 species